rnacentral:rRNA from 1 species
ACACAGCGAGACCGCGGACGGCUCAUUAAAUCAGUCGUGGUCCAUAUGGGCCAGUGUUAAUCUUACUUGGACAACUGUGGUAAUUCCAGAGCUAAUACAUGCAACUCUUAUCCCGAAGGAGAAUGGCGUAAGUUGUUCUCUCUGACGGAUGCUUUUAUUAGACCAAACUGCUGAGUGCGUGGUGUAUCACUUCGGUGUUACCGCGUAUGACUCGUUAUAUGGUGACUCUGAAUAACAUUCUAUUUGACAAGCGCAAUUACCCCUCUUAUGAGUUGGGACGGCGCUACCACUUUCGAGUGUCUGACUUAUCAGCUAUCAACCGUUCGUUAUGUGCGACCGAUGGCGUUGACGGGUAACGGGGAAUCAGAGUUCGAUUCCGGAGAGGCAGCCUGAGAGACGGCUACCACGUCCAAGGACGGCAGCAGGCACGCAAAUUACCCAAUCCCAGCACCUGGGGGAGGUAGUGACGAAAUCUAACGAUGCGGGCGCCCUUUCUGGGGCCCCGCAAUCGGAAUGGCCACUUUCUAAAAAACCUGUUGAGAACCUACUGAAGGGCAAGUCUGGUGCCAGCAGCCGCGGUAAUUCCAGCUU